UUCUAUUGUCCCCCCACUGCCCUAUCACUGCGCGCAGCGCACGCCACUGGCACUCAACCUUUGCCCUAUUGCUGGUUGCCAUCGUCACAGCAACUCGUGUGUCAUGAGCCUCGGACUCUCUUCUUCUUCUUCUUCUUUUGUUUGUUCUUUUAAUUCAUUUUUUUUGAUUUAUCAUUUAUGAGUUAUGAUUUCACAAUAAAGGCCCCGUGUAUGCUUUAUGGUGGAAUCCGAUUUCUUGAUGCAUGAUUUAUUUAUGAUAAUUUCUUAAGAAAAUAGAAAUUCCUCCUAUUGGACAAUUUGGAAAUUUUGGACCCAAAUUUUAUAUAGCUUUUGAAUAUAAAUGAAUUACAUUACUAAUGGGUAGAACUUAGAAUUUUCAUAGGGAAUUUGGACUUCAUUUUUCCUUUUUUCUUUUUUCGAAUUGGAUCUGAAACUUAGCUUAUUGUUUGGGGUCUUGGAAUUUUCUGUUCAGACUCUCUCUAUCUGUAUUUAUUUAGAAUGAACGAAAGUUGAAAUCUUGUCCAUUAUACUUGAAAUUUGUUCUUGGCUAAUUAAAAAUAUAUUUCAAUUUUUUAUAAUAACUAAUGAAAAAAAAUGAUGGUGGAAAUAGUUUCUAAGAAUAAAUCGAUAAUAUAGUAAUAAGCACGAUCAUGUUUAAUAAACGACGUGGUUAUUACGAUGGACGAAGGUUAACGACCGCCCUAGCUGGAUCCAAUUCCUAGAUUCACCAUUGAUUUUGACAUGUGAUGAUUCUCCCUAAGUAUGUCAACCUUCAAACUUCAACUAGAUUAAUAACCUCACUAGAAAUCUAAAUCAACAAUUAAGUAUCCAAGCUUAGCAGGAUAGAAACAAUGCUUAUGGUUGUUUUGCAGCUACCUUAACACACUUUUUCUUUUCUUUUCUUUAAUUUUCUAUUUUGUCCCCUCUUUUAGUAUAUAUAUCUUUUCAAUUGUUUCAUAUGUAGUUUUUACUCAACGUUGCAGCAUCUCCCAAUCAUCGAUGAUGAAUAUGGCCAAAUUAUUCAAGGCUCGCUUCACACAACUUAUGUUGCUCCGACUCUCCAAAAAUGGAGAACUAUUCGUGUCAACACGACAUGACACGGAUACUGACACAAGAUAUAGAUUGAAUCCUCGAUUUUACACUUGGAC
rnacentral:lncRNA from 1 species